UAGGGAAUAUUGGUAAUCUGGGAAACCGGGAACCAGCAACGCCGCGUGUGCGAUGAAGGCCUUCGGGUUGUAAAGCACUUUUUGAGGGGAUGAGGAAGGACAGUACCCUCAGAAUAAGCCUCGGCUAACUACGUGCCAGCAGCCGCGGUAACACGUAGGAGGCGAGCGUUAUUCGGAUUUACUGGGCGUAAAGCGCGUGUAGGUGGUUUGGUAAGUAGAGCGUGAAAGCUCCUGGCUCAACUGGGAGAGGUCGUUCUAAACUGCCGGACUAGAGGAUGGUAGAGGGAGGUGGAAUUCCGGGUGUAGCGGUGAAAUGCGUAGAUAUCAGGGGGAACACCGGCGGUGUAGACGGCUCUCUGGACCGUAACUGACGCUGAGACACGAAAGCGUGGGUAGCAAACA
rnacentral:rRNA from 1 species